UACGGAGGGUGCGAGCGUUGUCCGGAAUCACUGGGCGUAAAGGGCGCGUAGGUGGCGCGGGAAGUCAACGGUGAAAGUUCGGGGCUCAACCCUGAAUCGGCCGUCGAUACUCCCGGGCUCGAGCACUGUAGAGGCAGAUGGAAUUCCGGGUGUAGCGGUGGAAUGCGUAGAGAUCCGGAAGAACACCGGUGGCGAAGGCGGUUGCCUGGGGCUUUGCUGACGCUGAUGCGCGAAAGCGUGGGGAGCGAUCCGG
rnacentral:rRNA from 1 species